GACGAACGCUGGCGGCGUGCUUAACACAUGCAAGUCGAACGGAAAGGCCCUGCUUGCAGGGUACUCGAGUGGCGAACGGGUGAGUAACACGUGGGUGAUCUGCCCUGCACUUCGGGAUAAGCUUGGGAAACUGGGUCUAAUACCGGAUAGGAGCCAUCUUUAGUGUGGUGGUUGGAAAGUUUUUUCGGUGUAGGAUGAGCUCGCGGCCUAUCAGCUUGUUGGUGGGGUAAUGGCCUACCAAGGCGGCGACGGGUAGCCGGCCUGAGAGGGUGUACGGCCACAUUGGGACUGAGAUACGGCCCAGACUCCGACGGGAGGCAGCAGUGGGGAAGAUUGCACAAUGGGCGCAAGCCUGAUGCAGCGACGCCGCGUGGGGGAUGAAGGCCUUCGGGUUGUAAACUCCUUUCGCUAGGGACGAAGCUUUGUUGUGACGGUACCUAGAUAAGAAGCACCGGCUAACUACGUG
rnacentral:rRNA from 1 species